CCGGCGGAGCACACAGUCCACAGACCGCGGAGGCGUGAGGUGCAGCCGACGGGCCAGUCCGCUCGUAGGUCACCUGUCAGUCACGCCCUCUCUGUGACCUCCUCGCAUGCACUUGGACAGCGCCCUGGGUUCGCAGAGGCUGUCCGGGGCUCUGACGCGUGGAGAUCUUCGGAUCCUCAUGGAGACCCCAGCACCCCAGACAGGACAGGACACUGCCAUCCGUUCCAGCCCCAGCCUUCCCUUCAGGUCUCUCUCUGGUCACCCUCAUCCAGGCCCUGCAGCAGCUUGGGGUGGUGGCGUGAAAGACGGUCUCCAAAAGGGGCUUUCAUUCAGGCUCACCAAAGCUGGUCUUCAGAGUCCAUCAGUUCCCCACUUCUGGACGCAGGAAUCUGGUCGAAGGGCCCUCAGCCUGAGCUGAAGAUUGGAGAUUGAUUACCUUCUAUUGGCAGAGAACUCGAAUUCUGGUUCUGGUCUGGUCUGAUUUCUGGUAGGGCC
ensembl:lncRNA